CCUCCCCCUUCGUCAAGUGGGACCUACCUCUGUGACCACAAGGCAUCAGCCAAAUGGCAUCAGCUGAUACCUAGGGAUUUCAAGAGUCCCAUAGCAGAUGUUGUCCUUUAACCUAAGCUGGAUUCGAUACAGAAGUCCAGGGACUGGCAGCAAAACUGGGCCCAGAUGGCAUGUGGGAAAGUCCCAGGUCUUCACCCUCGGCCUUCCUUGGCCCUAAAAUGACGAGGAACAGGAAGCCCCUGCCUGUGAAAGGGCCGGGAAAGACACAAGCCCCGUGGUUCCUUUAAAGGCACCUGCGACCUCAGAGUCUCCCCAUCCCACUUGCUGCCCUCAUAACUAAGCCCAGUUUCCCAGUGUGUCAACUCCUGAAGGCUUCAGUGGGUCCUUACUGUGUUGGCCGACUUUUCUGUCACUGUAACAAGAAUUUGCCCAGAGCAUCUUAAAGAAAACUGCUCCACAAA